rnacentral:lncRNA from 1 species
CAUCAAUUAUCUUUUCAAUAAUAUUAGAACUCUCUUUUAAAAGAUAUAUUUCACUUUCAUAGCUGAAUCAUCGUCUUCAUCUAUAAAUACCACAAUAAAAAGUCAAGAAUCAACAUCAAAGCAAUUAAAAUCAUAAAAAACUAGAGUAACCAAAACAAGUAGCACUAGGCAGCCAAAAAAAUAAGCUACAUGCAAGCCAAAAAUAAGAAAUUAGCCACCAAAAAAAUGUAGUAGGGUGCAAAAACCAAGUAACAUCUAAAACACAAGACAAGCUUACCAUUAGGAAUAAAAUCAUACAGUUA